AUUGAACGCUGGCGGCAGGCCUAACACAUGCAAGUCGAACGAGUGGCGGACGGGUGAGUAAUGUCUGGGAAACUGCCUGAUGGAGGGGGAUAACUACUGGAAACGGUAGCUAAUACCGCAUACCAUCGGAUGUGCCCAGAUGGGAUUAGCUAGCAGGUGGGGUAACGGCUCACCUAGGCGACGAUCCCUAGCUGGUCUGAGAGGAUGACCAGCCACACGGGAACUGAGACACGGUCCUGACUCCUACGGGAGGCGGCAGUGGGGAAUAUUGCACAAGGGGCGAAAGCCUGAUGCAGCCAUGCCGCGUGUAUGAAGAAGGCCUUCGGGUUGUAAAGUACUUUCAGCGGGGAGGCGUUACCCGCAGAAGAAGCACCGGCUAACUCCGUGCCAGCAGCCGCGGUAAUUC
rnacentral:rRNA from 1 species